UACGUAGGGUGCGAGCGUUGUCCGGAAUUAUUGGGCGUAAAGGGCUCGUAGGCGGUCUGUCGCGUCGAAAGUGAAAACUCAGGGCUUAACCCUGAGCCUGCUUCCGAUACGGGCAGACUAGAGGUAUGCAGGGGAGAACGGAAUUCCUGGUGUAGCGGUGAAAUGCGCAGAUAUCAGGAGGAACACCGGUGGCGAAGGCGGUUCUCUGGGACGGUACUGACGCUGAGACGCGAAAGCGUGGGGAGCGAACAGG
rnacentral:rRNA from 1 species